rnacentral:lncRNA from 1 species
GAUGCACAGAUAAUCUUCUGAUUGCUGUAAAGCAUGCAUAGCAAGAUUAAUUUUUUAAGCCUAUGAGGAGGAGUAGCACAAGGUGAACUAACAGAAAGGUCAGAGCUAACAUUGUCUGUUGUCUUACGAAUGGAGUGGGCAGCCUGUGGCCCUAUAAGUUCAUGUGGACCUUGGUGGUGGAAUUUUAUGUGGCCCUCAUUCAGAUCUUUGGCAAGAGCAAUCUGUCCCUCUCCAUAUAGCUUGCAGGGGCUAGAAAAAAGAAAAAGAUAUGAGAUAGAAGGGAGUGCCAUAAAGUGUGUGACCACAGACUUCAGCCCUGCCUACCAUCUGCACACGGCUCCCAAUGUAUCCUCCCCAUCCCUGCAAGGAAAUGCACAUACUCCAUAAGUGUCACAGAAAAAAAUUAGACUUCUCGUGGGAGAGCAUGGCAGCCAUUUUGUGUUCCACGAGAUCUCACAUGAUUUCACACCAAGAUCCUGUCCAGAAAAAAGCAACACUUCUGCGCCCAAAAAGCACAUUUUUUUCUGGGUGGCACCCCAAAGAGGGCAUUUUCAGUUGCUGUGUGAACAAGGCUGUGAAAAAGGGCAUCUUUUGGGCUCCGUGAUCUCAUGCAGGUCGUGUGACUCGUGAGGGAGCACAGGCAGCAAGAUACGCUUCCUGGUUUGGGGGUUCAAGAUGUUGGAGGGUAUGAAUGCAGUCCUAGAGAAGCAAAGUUACUAGCCCCAGUGUUAGAACAUAGAAAGAUAACCUUCUGGCGUAACUAGUUACAUAUUAUUAUUAUUUUGCAGUCAAACAAUCUUACUUCAUCCUAUCAGUACACAAUAAACCAUUCUGUUCAUUCUGAUAGCUAAUAAAACCAGCCUUCAGGGAAGACAUGUAAUAUUAAUUUAAUGGGCUUUUGCUUUAUUUUUAAAGCAAGAAACAAUAUAAGUUUUACAAAUCCAAUUUUUUAUUAAAAAAAUUAUUUAGUAGUCAGUGGGAAAAAAAUAAAUGUGAUAAUGAUAUAAGGUCCUGGGAAGUUGUUAGGAGAUCCCUGUUCCCCUCACAGAGCUACAGUUAUUGGGAAGAAGAAUUGAUUGUUAAAACACUCCGUAGACCAAACUUGACAAGCUAUAGUUCCCAGGAUUAUUCGGGGGAAGCCAUGUUUGCUGAAGUGGUAUCAUAGGGCUUCAUGCUACUUACAUGUAGCACAUGCCCUUGCUGUACCACUAGAUGGCUCUUUCCAACCAUAACUUUAAAUUGCAUAGUGAAAUACAUUUAUGUUCAUCAUUAUACACAUAUAAUUCAUGGUGCUCAGCCCAUAGUACCGCACCUCACGCAAUCAACGCGGCUUCAUGGAUCAUUCCAAAUACUGACAAUUAUCCACCUAGAACACCUUAUUCAUUCUGCAGGAUUUGUACAACAGCCAAUAGCACCAUGGAGUUUUAACCUUCAGAGCCUGGGGGUUGGAGGAAGCUAGUUAUGACUUAUGUAAGGCCUGCAAAGCUUGUGAGCCAUAAAGCAGAAUGCAGUUCAUCGGCCAUAUAUAAGCUGGGUCCACUCAGUGUUCUGUAUUUGUGGUCUGUCUGGGAUUGUAAGAACUGGGAAAUUGCAGUCAAACAUAAUUAAGCGUAAGGGUGUGAAGGGGUUAAGACCAGAGAGGUUUGUUUCUAGACUCAGGUGAUCAUGCCCCCUUACCUCUGUGAGGGAGGAUGUGAUGCUGUUUCUCUUCCUUUGUCUCACUCUCUUCUCAGCAUGUAACCCACCAGAACAGACGGGUCUGAACUUUCUCAAAGCUCAGACUGCAUGUUUGAAACGAUAUUGUGAAUUUUGCACCCAAGAGUAAUCUACCUGGCUUCUCCUUGUUGCUGCGUGGGGCAACACAUGAACCACACCUUUGAAUUUAGUGAGUGCAUAUUUUAAACUUAACAGUGUGUGAUCUGUUCAUUGCUACAGAGGGAGAGGGUGGGGCAAGUGCUUUAAGACAGUAAACAGGCUAUGCAAAAAGGUUGAACAACCUAUAUUCCAGGCUAUGCUACAGGUUAACUCUGAAAGUGUUUUCAACUCUGCUGGGGGCUCUCUCCAGCUGGAGAGUGUUCUAAGCCCCAUGUUUUAAAUCUAGGUGCUCAGCUGAUUCUGUGGGUCAGAUCUAUUUUCCAAUUCCACAAAAACGGGGAUUUCAAGCACUCCUGAGGCUUGACCUUUGUUUGAAUCACAAAGCAGUCUUACUUCCUUUUGUGAUGGCCCCUGAAGAACAUGAUUUGGCUUGCUACCUCUGUUUGUGGCCCUCUGUAGCCUCCCUGCUUUUAUCUUGGUUUGGUCAUUGUGGUUUAGUCGUGUCCGACUCUUUGUGAGCCCAUGGACCAGAGCACGCCAGGUUUGGUCAUACAUGCCAUCUAUUGGUAAAAGAAGGCAUUGUGCUUCAUAUUAGUAUUAUGCCACAUCCUAACUAUGUAUUUAAAGCACCUCCAAAAGGAUCAAGGCUUUAAGGCAAGAACUCCAGCAAGUGAAUGACAAAGAGAGCUGGGAGGCCAACUCAAAGACCCACUAGGAACCACACAGAAGAGAAAUGAAAACCCUUUUACUGUGAUCAAAGAACAGGGAAGUAGAAGUCAAAGGGGACCCAGCCCCUCUUCCUUUGACAGUCUGUGUUUCAGGGGAUGAGGCUUGUAGGUUUCACAAUAAGCUUUAUUACUUCCCCGUUCCCCACAAUUUGUGCGCUAGGUUCGACAAGCUAGCCGGUGAACUUCAUUUGGCUCAGUGAGUCACAAGCCUAGAUUAAGGGUUGCCCACAAUGUGGGAGUCAUAUUUGGGCAUCCUGAUUGUUGCUUUAGUUUUGCGAUUGCUACGGGAAUUAUUUAGUAUGAUUCUUGAGAGACUUUUGUGUGUUUUGCAUGAGCCAGCAGGAGCUCUCGUGGCAGGCAUUUUAGCUUGACCGUAAGUUCAUACUGCGUGAUAUUUAAGACUAAGUAUGGUAAAAGAGAAAAAUGGAACAAUAAUAGAGGAUUAGCACAGAUUACCUGGCAACGACAGAAUUCCCUGCUAUGAAAAUCAAUCCAUUAUUUGGCACCCACAAAAUGCACUGCAAAUGCUCAGUGCCCCAGCAGGAGUGUCCGAUAUGUCGAUUCUGCUGCUGUUCUGAAAAAGUGUCUUCUCAGUUUUUUAAUUAAAGAGUCUGAUCUGUGCCAACCAGAGAUAGAAGGAUUGCCCGCAACAUCCAGUCUGUUCAGUGGGUGGGGUGGGGAAUGGUGGCAUGAAGGGAAUUGCCAUGCUAUUUCAAGUCUUGGAAAACAGAAUUUACAAGCAGGUACUGGAGAACGUGCAUGAAUGUGCUUUGACGGUUUGGAUUGAUAGUGCACGUUCUUUGGUUAUUGUUUCCUAGAUUAUAAGUUUUGAACUGAUAAAAAAACUAUAGGCAACAAUGCUGUGUGCCUCACUGAUUUCAAAGAGAGCUACCUGCAUGGUAAAUCGGGGCAGGGAGUGGGAUUUAUGCCAAGCAUCCCGAUUCAAUGGUUCUGCUGCAAUGCAUCUACAUGUAGAGAUCUGCAAGCGGUGCAUGGCUGGUGAAUAGGUGGCCCUCCACCAUAAUGCAACAUUUUGUCAUGAUUGAUAGCCACUUGUAGGCUUACUUUCCACUGACUUUUGUGAAAAGCUUUCUCCAGUAUUUUUAGACAAUGCUUUUCAUUCAUUGUUAUGAUAUUUUGCUGCUUUUUUAUGAUGUAAGCCAGGCAUAGGCAAACUCGGCCCUCCAGAUGUUUUGGGACUACAGCUCCCAUCAUCCCUGACCACUGGUCCUGUUAGUUAGGGAUGAUGGGAAUUGUAGUCCCAAAACACCUGGAGGGCCGAGUUUGCCUAUGCCUGAGGUAAGCUACUUUGAGCUGCAUUAUACGGUCAGACCAUUGGUUCACCAGAAUGUAUACUGUCAACAGUGACGGGUAGUGGUUUCAGAAAGCAUCUUUCCUAGUCCUUACCUGGAGAUGCCAGGGAUGUUGCAUGCAGGUGAUGCCAGGUUCAAUCCCCAGUAUCUCUCGGUAAGGCAGCGAGUGAUCUAGAGAGCUGCUGCUGGUCAGUGUUGACAGUGCUAGGCAGACCAGUGGUCUGACUCAGUAGAAAGCAGCUUCACAGGCUGCUUUUUUGAGUUUAUGUAUAUGUUAAAGAAGCAGCACACGUAUUGUUAAAAUAAUACUUUUGUUUGCCUCAUUUGCAAACCCUCAGACUCUGAAUAUAUUUUAACAGGCUAAUUCUGAAAAUGUAACAUUUUCUUCUGCUCACUCUUAAUUAGGAAAAUGGUGUAUAAGGCAGAUGGCGGAAAUCUUGCCAGUGAACAAACCCAGAAUCCUUUCCACCACAUGCCAACGUUCACUGCUUUAACACAUUUCUCUGCCAGAAAAAACAUUCCGAGUUCCACCCCCCAUAGAAUUUAGCACUUGCUAUUUAUGUCAUAUGCAUGUCUAAAUCUAUUAUUGCCUGCAAGGAGAAAUUCAGUAAAAGUAUGUUUGGAAUUACAUGUUUGAUGAUCUGCCAAUAACAUUGCAUUUUUCUGUUAUUAUUUUAAGCUUACGGGUCUGUUUUUGCUUUGUACGAAAACAAUAGCUUGGAUCGCAAGAUGAAUUAACUUAGGCCACAACCCUAGCACCACUU